rnacentral:rRNA from 1 species
AAUCUGCCCACUGAAUUUUAAAUGGCCGCAGUAUAUUAACUGUGCAAAGGUAGCAUAAUAAUUAGUCUUUUAAUUGAAGGCUGGUAUGAAUGAUUGGACGAAAUAUUAACUGUUUCAUAAUAAUUUAAAUUAAAAUUUUAUUUUUUAGUAAAAAAGCUAAAAUUUAAUUAAAAGACGAGAAGACCCUUUAAAUCUUUAUAUUUAAAUUAUUAGAAUUUUUAGGAUUCUUUUUAUUGUAAUAAUUAAUAGUAUUUUAUUGGGGUGAUAUUAAAAUUUAAAUAACUUUUAAUUUAUAAAUUCAUUUAUUUAUGAGUUAUUGAUCCUUUAUUAUGGAUUAAAAAUUUAAGUUACUUAAGGGAUAACAGCGUAAUUUUUUUGGAGAGUUCUUAUCGAUAAAAAAGAUUGCGACCUCGAUGUUGGAUUAAAAUAUAAUUUUAGGUGUAGUUGCUUAAAUUUUAAGUCUGUUCGACUUUUAAAUUUUUACAUGAUCUGAGUUUAAACCGGUGUAAGCCAGGUUGGUUUCUAUCUUUAAUAA